rnacentral:rRNA from 1 species
GGGCCCGCACAAGCGGUGGAGCAUGUGGUUUAAUUCGAUGCAACGCGAAGAACCUUACCAGGCCUUGACAUCCUCGGAACUUUCUAGAGAUAGAUUGGUGCCUUCGGGAACCGAGUGACAGGUGCUGCAUGGCUGUCGUCAGCUCGUGUCGUGAGAUGUUGGGUUAAGUCCCGUAACGAGCGCAACCCUUGUCCUUAGUUGCCAGCACAUUAUGGUGGGAACUCUAAGGAGACUGCCGAUGACAAAUCGGAGGAAGGUGGGGACGACGUCAAGUCAUCAUGGCCCUUACGUGUAGGGCUACACACGUGCUACAAUGGCCGGUACAGAGGGCAGCGAAGUCGCGAGGCUAAGCAAA